ACACGUCGUCCUCAGACAAGCCGAGCCACAGCUCGGGCGCUUCCACAGCCCGGGGAAUUCUACCGCCCGCUAGAAUCCUACCGCGCCCACCGCGGCCUCAUUUACAUAAGGCCACGCCCCGGUCAGGACGCAACGGCCCCGCCUCACUCUCCGCCCCUCCCCGCGCCACCGGGCUCCACGCGCAGGCGGUCUCCCUGCCCCCAGCUCUGCUCCCGCCGGGAUCUCAGCGCUAGGGCUUCUCCUCUUCUUCCCGCCCCCCGCCUCCUUCCUCUCCUUGCGGGUCUCCUCCGUCUUCUCCCCUCCACACUGAUUUGCUUCCCGUUCGUCUUCCCUCUCCAUGCAGCUCCCGCAACGCCCCCUGCGCCCGUCGUGGCGCCCACGCGGCGGUCAGCACCCGGCCGACUGCGCCCGCCUGAGAGGAACACGAGGGAGGACGUCCCCCAGCCGGAGAAGCGCCCACACACCUCUCUCGCUCUCGCUCUCUGUCGCUCUCUCUCUCUCUCUCUCUCUGCCCAGAGCCCGGUUUGAAGGAGACACAGUGCGAUGGCUCCACCUGAGGGGCUCAGCCGCCAAGCCAGUCCCCCCGCACCAGGGCUGGACACCAGCGCGGGGCUACCGAACGUCUGGCAGCUCUGGGCGCGCGAACCCAUACCUGUCGUUUGAGAACUGCCGCGUGCCUGCUGCUUUACAGGCUCAGCACGUUCUUAUGCAAAGUGGAAGCCACUGGUGGUCACACAGAUUGGUUGUUCACUUUUCAAGAGUGGGCUGUGCUCCUUUCCCAAGGAGGGCAAGGACAUAACUUACAAAAGGAAAAAUACGGGAGAACCCCCUCCUCUCACAGCUGCGUUUCUGUUGCGCGAGUUCUCUUAAGGCACAGAGCUACUUUUCAGCAUGUCACAGAGAGCGAACAUGCAAGCGUGGCGUUUACGGCUCUCCCCCAAAAGUGAUCGGUGACUGGAUCCCGAGCAGACCUGAGCUUUAUAGGGUGUCAUAGGCUGUUGCUUUCGUAAAUGUCACGGACAUAAAACGAACUUUGUGGAA